AUUUAUGAUUAUUCAUCGAUUUAUUAUAUCACUAUUUUAUUUUAGUGCAUACUCAGUUUAUAUAGAGUCUGGCUACUAUCCUAUUAAUAGAAUUGGGACCAUUAUCCUAUUAAGUCGUUUUGAAUAAUCGACACUCCAAGUUGAUAAUUAGCACCGUUGAAAUUGAUCUACACUAUAAAAAAUAUUUAAAAACCGAAUUUUAUAAUUUUUAAAAAUCAUUAUCAAGUCUAUCUAAGAGUCGAAAAAAUGAACGAUCAUAAAUGAAUAAUUUUCUUAAAAUAGAGAUUGAACUUUCUCAAAUCAUGAUCUGAAUUAUCAAAUAUUAUUUAAAUAGUGUAAAGAAUUUUCUAUCAAAAAUUUAAACAGUUUGGAUUGCUCUACACCAUUAAAUAAGCAAACAGCUUAUAUAGGUCAUAAAAAAUUAUCAAUUUUACGAUCCUUUAAUCACCAUAUAAAUGAUUUUAAAAUUUCUGAAAUUUAGUUUCUAGAUAUUUCAAAUACUCUAGAUCAACUUCAACGGUUCCGAUCAUCGAUUCGGCAUCUCUAUCAUCAAGAAUGACUUGAUAGGACGAUGGUCUCUAUCCUAUUAAUAGAAUAGUAGCUAGAUUCGUUUAUAUAUUAGCCAAAUUUCUUAUUUAAUGUUUUAAUUUUUAAAAAACAUGAAAUUAGUAAAAAAUAGGGUAAACUUGAAAUACUCUCGUGAUUUUGUACUUUCUCACUUCAGUAGUUUAUGAUUUAAAGUGUAUUAAUCUAGUAUCAUGUGAAUUUAUUUUUCUUUUUUUGUCAGCUCCUUCUUUAAAAUUUUGUCUAAAUAUAUAAAAAAAUUUUUAGAUAUUUCAUCUAAAUUUAUCGAAUAUUUAUUUUAAUAUUUUUUAAUUU
rnacentral:lncRNA from 1 species